rnacentral:rRNA from 1 species
GGUUAAGCGACUAAGCGUACACGGUGGAUGCCCUGGCAGUCAGAGGCGAUGAAGGGCGUGCUAAUCUGCGAUAAGCGCCGGUAAGGUGAUAUGAACCGUUAUAACCGGCGAUACCCGAAUGGGGAAACCCAGUGUGACUCGUCACACUAUCAUUAACUGAAUCCAUAGGUUAAUGAGGCGAACCGGGGGAACUGAAACAUCUAAGUACCCCGAGGAAAAGAAAUCAACCGAGAUUCCCCCAGUAGCGGCGAGCGAACGGGGAGGAGCCCAGAGCCUGAAUCAGCAUGUGUGUUAGUGGAAGCGUCUGGAAAGGCGCGCGAUACAGGGUGACAGCCCCGUACACAAAAGCGCAUGUGCUGUGAGCUCGAUGAGUAGGGCGGGACACGUGGUAUCCUGUCUGAAUAUGGGGGGACCAUCCUCCAAGGCUAAAUACUCCUGACUGACCGAUAGUGAACCAGUACCGUGAGGGAAAGGCGAAAAGAACCCCGGCGAGGGGAGUGAAAAAGAACCUGAAACCGUGUACGUACAAGCAGUGGGAGCCCCACCACUAAGCCAGUGGUGAACUCCACAUACGCAUCCUUUGCUGAGGAUACGGUUAACGGAGCGAAAGCGACGUUCAACCUCAAAAGAAGCAGAGGGGGCUUAGUGGUGGGGUGACUGCGUACCUUUUGUAUAAUGGGUCAGCGACUUAUAUUCUGUAGCAAGGUUAACCGCAUAGGGGAGCCGGAGGGAAACCGAGUCUUAAUUGGGCGUUAAGUUGCAGGGUAUAGACCCGAAACCCGGUGAUCUAGCCAUGGGCAGGUUGAAGGUUGGGUAACACUAACUGGAGGACCGAACCGACUAAUGUUGAAAAAUUAGCGGAUGACCUGUGGCUGGGGGUGAAAGGCCAAUCAAACCGGGAGAUAGCUGGUUCUCCCCGAAAGCUAUUUAGGUAGCGCCUCGUGAAUUCAUCUCCGGGGGUAGAGCACUGUUUCGGCUAGGGGGCCAUCCCGGCUUACCAACCCGAUGCAAACUGCGAAUACCGGAGAAUGUUAUCACGGGAGACACACGGCGGGUGCUAACGUCCGUCGUGAAGAGGGAAACAACCCAGACCGCCAGCUAAGGUCCCAAAGUCAUGGUUAAGUGGGAAACGAUGUGGGAAGGCCCAGACAGCCAGGAUGUUGGCUUAGAAGCAGCCAUCAUUUAAAGAAAGCGUAAUAGCUCACUGGUCGAGUCGGCCUGCGCGGAAGAUGUAACGGGGCUAAACCAUGCACCGAAGCUGCGGCAGCGACACUGUGUGUUGUUGGGUAGGGGAGCGUUCUGUAAGCCUGUGAAGGUGGCCUGUGAGGGUUGCUGGAGGUAUCAGAAGUGCGAAUGCUGACAUAAGUAACGAUAAAGCGGGUGAAAAGCCCGCUCGCCGGAAGACCAAGGGUUCCUGUCCAACGUUAAUCGGGGCAGGGUGAGUCGACCCCUAAGGCGAGGCCGAAAGGCGUAGUCGAUGGGAAACGGGUUAAUAUUCCCGUACUUGGUGUUACUGCGAAGGGGGGACGGAGAAGGCUAUGUUGGCCGGGCGACGGUUGUCCCGGUUUAAGCGUGUAGGUGUGUGUUCCAGGUAAAUCCGGUUCACUUUAACACUGAGGCGUGACGACGAGGCACUACGGUGCUGAAGCAACAAAUGCCCUGCUUCCAGGAAAAGCCUCUAAGCAUCAGGUAACAUCAAAUCGUACCCCAAACCGACACAGGUGGUCAGGUAGAGAAUACCAAGGCGCUUGAGAGAACUCGGGUGAAGGAACUAGGCAAAAUGGUGCCGUAACUUCGGGAGAAGGCACGCUGACACGUAGGUGAAGUGAUUUACUCAUGGAGCUGAAGUCAGUCGAAGAUACCAGCUGGCUGCAACUGUUUAUUAAAAACACAGCACUGUGCAAACACGAAAGUGGACGUAUACGGUGUGACGCCUGCCCGGUGCCGGAAGGUUAAUUGAUGGGGUCAGCGCAAGCGAAGCUCCUGAUCGAAGCCCCGGUAAACGGCGGCCGUAACUAUAACGGUCCUAAGGUAGCGAAAUUCCUUGUCGGGUAAGUUCCGACCUGCACGAAUGGCGUAAUGAUGGCCAGGCUGUCUCCACCCGAGACUCAGUGAAAUUGAACUCGCUGUGAAGAUGCAGUGUACCCGCGGCAAGACGGAAAGACCCCGUGAACCUUUACUAUAGCUUGACACUGAACAUUGAGCCUUGAUGUGUAGGAUAGGUGGGAGGCUUUGAAGUGUGGACGCCAGUCUGCAUGGAGCCGACCUUGAAAUACCACCCUUUAAUGUUUGAUGUUCUAACGUGGACCCGUUACCCGGGUUGCGGACAGUGUCUGGUGGGUAGUUUGACUGGGGCGGUCUCCUCCUAAAGAGUAACGGAGGAGCACGAAGGUUGGCUAAUCCUGGUCGGACAUCAGGAGGUUAGUGCAAUGGCAUAAGCCAGCUUGACUGCGAGCGUGACGGCGCGAGCAGGUGCGAAAGCAGGUCAUAGUGAUCCGGUGGUUCUGAAUGGAAGGGCCAUCGCUCAACGGAUAAAAGGUACUCCGGGGAUAACAGGCUGAUACCGCCCAAGAGUUCAUAUCGACGGCGGUGUUUGGCACCUCGAUGUCGGCUCAUCACAUCCUGGGGCUGAAGUAGGUCCCAAGGGUAUGGCUGUUCGCCAUUUAAAGUGGUACGCGAGCUGGGUUUAGAACGUCGUGAGACAGUUCGGUCCCUAUCUGCCGUGGGCGCUGGAGAACUGAGGGGGGCUGCUCCUAGUACGAGAGGACCGGAGUGGACGCAUCACUGGUGUUCGGGUUGUCAUGCCAAUGGCACUGCCCGGUAGCUAAAUGCGGAAGAGAUAAGUGCUGAAAGCAUCUAAGCACGAAACUUGCCCCGAGAUGAGUUCUCCCUGAGACUUAGAGUCUCCUGAAGGAACGUUGAAGACGACGACGUUGAUAGGCCGGGUGUGUAAGCGCAGCGAUGCGUUGAGCUAACCGGUACUAAUGAACCGUGAGGCUUAACCUU